rnacentral:piRNA from 1 species
UAUGAGGUUACAUUUGUGAACUGAGACAGA